UGGGGAAUUUUGGACAAUGGGGGAAACCCUGAUCCAGCCAUCCCGCGUGUGCGAUGAAGGCCUUCGGGUUGUAAAGCACUUUUGGCAGGAAAGAAACGUCAUGGGUUAAUACCCCGUGAAACUGACGGUACCUGCAGAAUAAGCACCGGCUAACUACGUGCCAGCAGCCGCGGUAAUACGUAGGGUGCAAGCGUUAAUCGGAAUUACUGGGCGUAAAGCGUGCGCAGGCGGUUCGGAAAGAAAGAUGUGAAAUCCCAGAGCUCAACUUUGGAACUGCAUUUUUAACUGCCGGGCUAGAGUGUGUCAGAGGGAGGGGGAAUUCCGCGUGUAGCAGUGAAAUGCGUAGAUAGGCGGAGGAACACCGAUGGCGAAGGCAGCCUCCUGGGAUAACACUGACGAUCAUGCACGAAAGCGUGGGGAGCAAACAGG
rnacentral:rRNA from 1 species